rnacentral:lncRNA from 1 species
GCGUGUGCUGACUGCCCUCAAUGUAGCCCCGCUAGGUCCCCCACGUUUGCAUGCUAAGUGUUUUUAUGAGUGCUUGUCCCGCUCUGAUACCAUCUGUCACGGACUUAGCUGGUUUUGCCUAAGUCGUGCGGCACCCUUGCGUGUCCGUCCGCAAAGUUCAGCCUCCCCGAAGCCUCCCAUUAUCCCUUAGGACCAACAAAAGAGAUAACGGGUUAGAUAGAACGUCUCAAUCGGGAUCCACAAGCAAACAUCUCCGAAAAACACUUCAUAGACAAUGCAAAUUACAAACAGACUUUACAAGCUCUGAACAGUUACACAACAAAGGGUAAAAUGGUCCAUUACAGACCCAAAAUCUCUCGCACGUGUCCACAUGACACAACUUUUAUUUACAAGCCUAAAGAGGCCACCAACCCAACUAAAAUGGGACUAUUAAGCCUUCGACCGCCC